CCUGGCUCAGAAUGAACGUUGGCGGCGUGGAUUAGGCAUGCAAGUCGUGCGAGAAGCUCUUUCGGGAGCGGACAGCGGCGAAAGGGAGAGGAAUACGUAGAAAUCUACCCUCGGGUCUGGGAUAGCGUCGGGAAACUGGCGGUAAUACCAGAUAACGUCUUCGGACCAAAGGUGUGAUUCCACCUGAGGAUGAGUCUACGUCCUAUUAGGUAGUUGGUGGGGUAAUGGCCCACCAAGCCUGGGAUGCCUAGGGGGUGUGAGAGCAUGGCCCCCACCAUUGGGACUGAGAUACUGCCCAGACACCUACGGGUGGCUGCAGUCGAGAAUCUUCGGCAAUGGGCGCAAGCCUGACCGAGCGACGCCGCGUGCGGGAUGAAGGCCUUCGGGUUGUAAACCGCUGUCAGAGGGGAUGAAAUCACAGUGGGUUCUCCCACUGUGUUGACAGAGCCUCAGAGGAAGCGCGGGCUAAGUUCGUG
rnacentral:rRNA from 1 species